rnacentral:rRNA from 1 species
UACGUAGGGUGCAAGCGUUGUCCGGAUUUAUUGGGUUUAAAGGGUGCGUAGGUGGCUGAUUAAGUCAUGGGUGAAAGCCCGCAGCUCAACUGUGGAAUUGCCUGUGAUACUGAUUAGCUUGAGUGCGGUUGAGGCAGCUGGAAUUGGUGGUGUAGCGGUGAAAUGCAUAGAUACCACCAGGAACACCGAUUGCGAAGGCAGGUUGCGAAGCCGUAACUGACAAUGAGGCACGAAGGCGUGGGGAGCAAACAGG